rnacentral:tRNA from 1 species
GCCUGGGUGGCUCAGUCGGUUGAGUGUCCGACUUUGGCUCAGGUCAUGAUCUCCCAGUUUGUGGGUUCGAGCCCCGCAUCGGGCU